rnacentral:rRNA from 1 species
GACGAACGCUGGCGGCGUGCUUAACACAUGCAAGUCGAACGGAAAGGCCCUGCUUUUGUGGGGUGCUCGAGUGGCGAACGUGUGAGUAACACGUGAGUAACCUGCCCUUUACUUUGGGAUAACUUCAGGAAACUGGGGCUAAUACCGGAUAGGAGCUCCUGCUGCAUGGUGGGGGUUGGAACGUUUCGGCGGUUGGGGAUGUACUCGCGGCUUAUCAGCUUGUUGGUGGGGUAGUGGCUUACCAAGGCUUUGACGGGUAGCCGGCCUGAGAGGGUGACCGGCCACAUGGGGACUGAGAGACGGCCCAGACUCCUACGGGAGGCAGCAGUGGGGAAUAUUGCACAAUGGGCGGAAGCCUGAUGCAGCAACGCCGCGUGCGGGAUGACGGCCUUCGGGUUGUAAACCGCUUUAGCCUGUGACGAAGCGUGAGUGACGGUAAUGGGUAAAGAAGCACCGGCUAACUACGUG